GAUAAACGUUUGCGGUGCGCCUUAUGCAUGCAAGUUGUACGGGGUUAUGGUUUUCGGACUGUAACCUAGUGGCGAACGGCUGAGUAACACGUAAGUAACCUACCUCUAAGUGGGGGAUAACCUGUCGAAAGACAGACUAAUACCGCGUGUGGUAAUCAAGGAUUGCUUGGUUAUCAAAGCCUUAGGGCGCUUGGAGAAGGGCUUGCGUUUGAUUAGCUAGUUGGUAGGGUAAUGGCUUACCAAGGCAAUGAUCAAUAGCUGGUCUGAGAGGAUGUCCAGCCAGAUGGGGACUGAGAUACGGCCCUAACUCCUACGGGAGGCAGCAGCAAGGAAUAUUGGGCAAUGGGCGAAAGCCUGACCCAGCGACACCGCGUGAGGGAAGAAGGCCUUCGGGUUGUAAACCUCUUUUCUCGAGGAAGAAUUUUGACGGUACUCGAGGAAUAAGUCUCGGCUAACUACGUGCCAGCAGCCGCGGUAAUACGUAGGAGGCGAACGUUAUUCGGAUUUACUGGGCGUAAAGGGAGCGUAGGCGGUUCCUUAAGUCAGAUGUGAAAUCUUCUGGCUCAAUCAGAAGGCGUCGUUUGAUACUGGGGGACUUGAGAGCAGCAGAGGGAAAUGGAAUCCCCGGUGUAGCGGUGAAAUGCGUAGAUAUUGGGGAGAACACCAGUGGCGAAGGCGAUUUCCCAGGGUGUUUCUGACGCUGAGGCUCGAAAGCGUGGGGAGCGAAGCGGAUUAGAUACCCGCGUAGUCCACGCCCUAAACGGUGGACACUAGAUAUAGGAGGUAUCGACCCCUUCUGUGUCGAAGCUAACGCCUUAAGUGUCCCGCCUGGGGAGUACGGCCGCAAGGCUG
rnacentral:rRNA from 1 species